rnacentral:rRNA from 1 species
ACGGAGGGGGCCAGCGUUGUUCGGAAUUAUUGGGCGUAAAGGGCGCGUAGGCGGGUUGACAAGUCAAAUGUGAAAUUCCGGAGCUCAACUUCGGGGCUGCAUUUGAAACUGUUAGUCUAUAGAGGGAUGGCGGAGAAAACGGAAUUCCACGUGUAGCGGUGAAAUGCGUAGAGAUGUGGAGGAACAACAGUGGCGAAGGCGACUUUCUGGUCUGUAACUGACGCUGAGGCGCGAAAGCGUGGGGAGCAAACAGGA